CAUUUAGCGUGGGGCCCUUUGCAAGUGCGGGGCCUGUAGCGUGUGUAGCUACUUUCGCUACUAGGAUAAUUCGGCACUUAGUGCACCCAUUCAUACAGCUGGGUAGGACAGAGGCGGUGGGGAAGAUUCGCGAUACUGCUCCCCCCCUUUGAUUCAAAUUCAAAUGCCCCGGAAGGGCAUUUGAACCGGUUGACCUCUGGAUUGCAAGUCCGGUCGCCUUAACCGUUACACCGUGUGGCAGCGUCCAGCGCGUGUACAUUAUACUCACAUUUGCAGUUAACAAAAAAAAUCUAAUGAAUAGCAUUUUUUUGCUUGAGCCACUAAUGUGAGACAGGAAGUGAUCAACUUCAAUCGGGUCAGCUUGCACGGUGGUUUGAGCGCACGGCUUGCGAGUUGUGACCUUGAAUAUUGUGCGGGCUUCCAGCCAGUGUUGAUAAAAAAAUGAGUACAAAUCCGAAGUCAACAGUUUAUGACAGUGUAUAGACUCUGCCCUGCCAAAGGAAUUUUGAAUUUCCACCACCGAUUCAAAAAAUGAGCACCGCCUUCAUUAUUUUGAGUGGGAACCCACGUGAAAAUAUGAUUGAAUGAAUAAAAAAAAAGUUUUAAUAUAUUUAUUUUCUGCACAGCUAAUAUAUAACUUCUUCAGUUCAGGAGUCGUUAUUUUAUCCCGAGGACUUUAACGAUGAAAAUGUAACAAUACAAAAGAGGCGGCGACAAGAGAAACACGCGUAUUGGAGAACGUACGCCGGUGAAAGGCAUCAUUCAAACUGUUCAUUAAAAAACGCGAGCGGGUUUGGGCAGGGCUCGUUGCUGGAAGGGUUUUUUCGAUGGCUCAUGGUCAAGAAUUACGUUGGAGUGCUCGCCGAGGGAUGCGAACGCGUCCGGAGAAAACACGUCCAACGGGGAGACGCCGCGAUGGAAAUCAGUGCGCACGGGAGCUGUAGGAGGCAAGUCGCCCUCCAAGAACAACUGAGAGCUGAGAAGCGACACACACCGAGUCGGCGCAGCGGGGAGCGCAGGUGGUGCAUCUGCCAAGCACCUCGGUCAGCUGACGUGUAACAACUCUGGGAACUCACGAACCUUGGUGAUCCCGUUGAGGAGGAUAAUCCAUGAUCACGCGAACUCCGGUUGCUGUCAGCGGUUUGCCGCUAACCAUCGAACAACGCGGCGCUCUCUGUGGUCGUCUGGAACGCUCUUCCUUCCGACAUUCGGAAGCCACUGGAGCCACGCACUUUUAAAGCUAGGUUGAAAACGGAUUUCUUUAAGAAGCGCUUUUUGUGUUUAGUUUGUUGUCCUUCCCCCGCACCUCCGAAUAGCACGGUUGGCUACGUACGGUGCGAAAGAAGUUCUACAUGCACACGCACUAACCACACUUACUCCGAUGGUCGAUGAAGCAAAACGGGGACUGUGUGCGCGUGUGGACGGACGUGCGACCGCUCGCGCUUGUUUGUGGGAACAUUUGCUGUCGGGUUGGUAUAUUUGUUUAUCGACGGUGCACAAGCCGAACAGCGGCCCCUUGCCAGCCCCAGGCUGAAAGAUUUCAGGGCAAUUCUACUGCGGAUUGCUUUAACAUAUAAAGUCCAGCAAUUUCUCACACAUAUAAUUACGGACAAAUAAGAGGCAGUGGUUCAUUCCGGCCAAAAAUUCCUCAUUAAGAAACGCAAUGCCCCCCCCACCCCCCCCCCCCGCCACAAAGUUUGACAAGUAACAUUAAAUAAAUUGUAACAUUUAUAUACUGAAAGUUAUCGCGGUCAUUGGUUUGCAAUAUAUUUGAAAACAUAUUAGUUUGUUGUUUAUUGCGUAAUGAGUUGUGAGCUUGCGCCGCAGCGAGUCGAUCGGGCUGCCGUCGGAAGUGGUGCCCACGCGCAAAAUAAACAAA